rnacentral:rRNA from 1 species
CAUGUAGGCGGCAUGACAAGUCUGGUGUGAAAUACCUCGGCUCAACCGAGAAAACGCACUGGAAACUGUCAAGCUUGAGUAUCGGAGGGGAAGCUAGAAUUCCUGGUGUAGGGGUGAAAUCUGUAGAUAUCAGGAAGAAUACCGGUGGCGAAGGCGAGCUUCUGGCCAGAUACUGACGCUGAGAUGCGAAAGCGUGGGGAGCGAACAGGAUUAGAUACCCUGGUAGUCC